GAGUGAUCAUAGCUCUUUUACCAUUUUUUCAGGCUUUCUGAUUUUGAUCAGAAAACCCAA
rfam:Mus musculus chromosome 19 genomic contig MG4249_PATCH, GRC reference assembly FIX PATCH for GRCm38.